rnacentral:tRNA from 1 species
GCCUGGCUGGCUCUGUCAGUAGAGCAUGUGACUCUUGAUCUCAGAGUUGUGAGUUCAAGCCCCAUGUUGGGUG